rnacentral:sRNA from 12 species
AAUUUAAUUAAGAAUAUAUUAUAACCGUGUGCAGAAGGCAUAACCAACCUGCACGGGCAUGACGGAACUGCCUAGUUGUCGCAUCAAGGAUACUUGAGUUCGGCAGCUAUUCCUUCAAAGAGAUGCGAGGGGAAAAGAAAGACACUUUCAAUGGAGAAGUCAUGGCAUCGGUAUAAUAUAGGUUGUAAAACAGACUGACCUAACUCUUUCCGCAAUAGACGCCCUAGUUGGGAAUAACCCUGUAGACCACGCCUGCAAAGUGUGAGCCAAUGCAGGGAACGCACAAUAAGGAAAGACCUCUGCUCGGGGGACUGGAGAAAUCCUGUUUGUUAGAAAGUAGUACAAGUAGCUCAAGAGUAGAUAUAUGGCAAGAAUUAUACAUUUAUCUGAACGGUGGGUGAAAGUUGGGGGUACCAAUCCCCUUGGUGCUAGUCAGCGGCAAGAAGUUAUAGGGUAGCUCCCUAUGGCUCAGACUUGUCGUCACCAUGGUUGAAUAACAAUUAUAUUAUAUCUGGUAGGGCGAACAAAAACCCAUACUAUGUUCUUAAUUAAA